UACAGAGGGGGCAAGCGUUGUUCGGAAUUACUGGGCGUAAAGGGCGCGUAGGCGGCCUUCUAAGUCGAACGUGAAAUCCCCGGGCUCAACCCGGGAACUGCGUCCGAUACUGGAAGGCUUGAAUCCGGGAGAGGGAUGCGGAAGUUCCAGGUGAGCGGUGAAAAUGCGCAGAUAUCGGGAGGAACGACCUACUGGCGGAA
rnacentral:rRNA from 1 species